AGCGAACGCUGGCGGCAGGCUUAACACAUGCAAGUCGAGCGCCCGUAGCAAUACGGGAGCGGCAGACGGGUGAGUAACACGUGGGAACGUGCCCUUUGGUUCGGAAUAACUCAGGGAAACUUGAGCUAAUACCGGAUAAGUCCGUAAGGAGAAAGAUUUAUCGCCGAAGGAGCGGCCCGCGUCCGAUUAGCUAGUUGGUGAGGUAAUGGCUCACCAAGGCUACGAUCGGUAGCUGGUCUGAGAGGAUGACCAGCCACACUGGGACUGAGACAUGGCCCAGACUCCUACGGGAGGCAGCAGUGGGGAAUAUUGGACAAUGGGGGCAACCCUGAUCCAGCCAUGCCGCGUGGAUGAUGAAGGCCUUAGGGUUGUAAAGUCCUUUUAACGGGGAAGAUAAUGACGGUACCCGUAGAAUAAGCCCCGGCUAACUUCGUGCCAGCCGCCGCUGUAA
rnacentral:rRNA from 1 species